rnacentral:rRNA from 1 species
UACGGAGGGGGCUAGCGUUGUUCGGAAUUACUGGGCGUAAAGCGCGCGUAGGCGGACCUGCAAGUCGGGGGUGAAAGCCCGAGGCUCAACCUCGGAACUGCCUUCGAUACUGCGGGUCUCGAGUCCGGGAGAGGUGAGUGGAAUUCCUAGUGUAGAGGUGAAAUUCGUAGAUAUUAGGAAGAACACCAGUGGCGAAGGCGGCUCACUGGCCCGGGUACUGACGCUGAGGCGCGAAAGCGUGGGGAGCAAACAGG